rnacentral:rRNA from 1 species
CACAAGCGGUGGAUGAUGUGGAUUAAUUCGAUGCAACGCGAAAAACCUUUACCUACCCUUGACAUGUCUGGAACUUGGCAGAGAUGCCUUGGUGCCUUCGGGAGCCAGAACACAGGUGCUGCAUGGCUGUCGUCAGCUCGUGCCGUGAGAUGUUGGGUUAAGUCCCGCAACGAGCGCAACCCUUACCAUUAGUUGCCAUCAUUUAGUUGGGCACUCUAAUGGGACUGCCGGUGACAAACCGGAGGAAGGCGGGGAUGACGUCAAGUCCUCAUGGCCCUUAUGGGUAGGGCUUCACACGUCAUACAAUGGUCGGUACAGAGGGUUGCCAAGCCGCGAGGUGGAGCUAAUCUCAGAAAGCCGAUCGUAGUCCGGAUCGCAGUCUGCAACUCGACUGCGUGAAGUCGGAAUCGCUAGUAAUCGUGGAUCAGAAUGUCACGGUGAAUACGUUCCCGGGCCUU